rnacentral:rRNA from 1 species
UACGUAGGCAGCGAGCGUUGUUCGGAUUUACUGGGCGUAAAGGGCGCGUAGGCGGCCAGCACAAGUCAGUUGUGAAAUCUCCGAGCUUAACUCGGAAAGGUCAACUGAUACUGUGCGGCUAGAGUGCAGAAGGGGCAACUGGAAUUCUUGGUGUAGCGGUGAAAUGCGUAGAUAUCAAGAGGAACACCUGCGGCGAAGGCGGGUUGCUGGGCUGACACUGACGCUGAAGCGCGAAAGCCAGGGGAGCGAACGGG